GCGAGACCCUGAGGCGAUUUGGCCACCGGAUUGCGGGCCUCGUAAAACAUUCCGCUAAAGAGGUCGAGGACGUUUCGCC
rnacentral:ncRNA from 2 species